rnacentral:rRNA from 1 species
UUCGCCCUUAGAGUUUGUUUCUGGCUCAGGACGAACGCUGGCGGCGUGCCUAACACAUGCAAGUCGAACGGACUGAAGGGGCUUGCUCCUUCGGUUAGUGGCGGACGGGCGAGUAACGCGUGAGCAACCUGCCCUUCAGUGGGGAACAACAGUUGGAAACGACUGCUAAUACCGCAUAACGUAUGUUUGCCGCAUGACGGGCAUACCAAAGGAGCAAUUCGCUGAAGGAUGGGCUCGCGUCCGAUUAGCUGGUUGGUGGGGUAACGGCCUACCAAGGCGACGAUCGGUAGCCGAACUGAGAGGUUGAUCGGCCGCAUUGGGACUGAGACACGGCCCAGACUCCUACGGGAGGCAGCAGUGGGGGAUAUUGCACAAUGGGGGAAACCCUGAUGCAGCAACGCCGCGUGAGGGAAGAAGGUCUUCGGAUUGUAAACCUAAGUAGUCAGGGACGAUAAUGACGGUACCUGAAGAGUAAGCUCCGGCUAACUACGUGCCAGCAGCCGCGGUAAUACGUAGGGAGCGAGCGUUAUCCGGAAUUACUGGGUGUAAAGGGAGUGUAGGCGGGACUGUAAGUCAGAUGUGAAAUAUGCCGGCUCAACUGGCAGACUGCAUUUGAAACUGCGGUUCUUGAGUGAAGUAGAGGUAAGCGGAAUUCCUAGUGUAGCGGUGAAAUGCGUAGAUAUUAGGAGGAACAUCAGUGGCGAAGGCGGCUUACUGGGCUUUAACUGACGCUGAGGCUCGAAAGCGUGGGGAGCAAACAGAAGUAGAUACCCUGGUAGUCCACGCUGUAAACGAGGAUUACUAGGUGUUGGGGACCACAAGGUCUUCGGUGCCGCAGCAAACGCAAUAAGUAAUCCACCUGGGGAGUGCGUUCGCAAGAAUGAAACUCAAAGGAAUUGACGGGGGCCCGCACAAGCGGUGGAGCAUGUGGUUUAAUUCGAAGCAACGCGAAGAACCUUGCCAAAUCUUGACAUCCCUCUGACAGAGUAUGUAAUGUACUUUUCCUUCGGGACAGAGGAGACAGGUGGUGCAUGGUUGUCGUCAGCUCGUGUCGUGAGAUGUUGGGUUAAGUCCCGCAACGAGCGCAACCCUUGUCCUUAGUAGCCAGCAGUCCGGCUGGGCACUCUAAGGAGACUGCCCGGGACAACCGGGAGGAAGGUGGGGAUGACGUCAAAUCAUCAUGCCCCUUACGAGCAGGGCUACACACGUGCUACAAUGGCGUAAACAAAGGGAAGCGAAGCCGCGAGGCCGAGCAAACCCCAAAAAUAACGUCUCAGUUCGGAGGGCAGUCUGCAACUCGACUGCACGAAGCUGGAAUCGCUAGUAAUCGCGAAUCAGAAUGUCGCG